UACAGAGGUCUCAAGCGUUGUUCGGAUUCAUUGGGCGUAAAGGGUGCGUAGGCGGCGCGGUAAGUCGGGUGUGAAAUUUCGAGGCUUAACUUCGAAACUGCAUUCGAUACUGCCGUGCUUGAGGACUGGAGAGGAGACUGGAAUUUACGGUGUAGCGGUGAAAUGCGUAGAUAUCGUAAGGAAGACCAGUGGCGAAGGCGGGUCUCUGGACAGUUCCUGACGCUGAGGCACGAAGGCCAGGGGAGCAAAACGGGG
rnacentral:rRNA from 1 species